AGGAAGAAAGCCUGGCUUGCUGCCUGACUCUACCCCUUCGCCCAUUAUCCUCUAUGCAUAACUUAAGGUACUGAAGCCUGAGGCCAGCUUCGGAUUUUCGUUGCUAGCACUAGCCUCUCCUUGAAAGAACCAGCAUGACUUGGAGUUUCACAGGUGAUUCUGUUGGGCAGCCAGCAUGAGAGCGCCCCACUGGCCUGUGGCCGACACUAGCCCGUGUUGCGGUCAGUUGCCUAAAAGGACCUGUCUCCCCUGAUACCACAGGUGACCUGCUGGACAUCACCUGUGGAACCAGGAAGGCUUCUGCUCUUUGGUGUAGAAAAGCUUCUCUGUGUGCAUGUCCUUUGUGAUGGGCACAUUUCAUC
ensembl:lncRNA